GACAACCUAUACUGUAAUUAUCAUUAAAGUACACUGUAUUAUUGUUUAAUUUGAAAAUCCUCAACAGUAUUUAGGUAAAUAUGUCAUCUGACAAGCAUUGUUGCGUUCCUGGAUGCACAGAAAUGUGAGGUAUGCAUAAAGUACUACAUGGGUUUCCAAACCCAGAGAUGGAUAGGGCAAGAUUUACAUAGCUGUACGCAAUUGGUGGUGAUAUCAUGGCUCUGGAAAAUGGACACAUAUAAGUACAGAUGUGUAUGUCGGGCGCAUUUCUAACACAAAAGCUUAUGCCGCAACCACAAAAUUAGCAACAAUGCUGUACCAACAUUAAAUAUGCCAGGCAAAAAGGCAGCCUUACUGCCCGUAAGGAAAACUAUACAAUCAAAUUUCCUUACCAAG